GUUUGCUUCACUAAUGAUGUGGGUACGAAUGAACAAAAAUGUGACUAUUUUAAGCUUCACUGUUGAUGACUGAUGGCGACACGAGUAACAUGAAGCCUAAAAUAGUCACAUUUUUGUUCAUUCGUACCUACAUCAUUAGUGAAGCAAAC
rnacentral:pre_miRNA from 1 species